GCGCGGGCCGAGCUGCGCGCUCCGCUUGGAUGGCGUCUCCAGGCUGCCACCGCGGCUGGCGCCCUCGGGCCGCGCCUGGCGCUCCCGCGCGCUGCCCAGGUACGAGUGGUCGUAUUUGGGUGCAGUGCCUGGCGUGCGGCUCACCAGCCGUGGCAGGUGCGCGUCCUCGGCAGGUCUGCGGCGCGCGGGGCUGAAGGCCCAGCCGCGGUCAGCAUCGGUCAGGGGCUCGCGGCUGCGGCUGCGCUGACCGUAGUACUCCUCCAAGGAGUCGUCCUGGUAGAAGCCGCUGUGCGCCCGUGACUCCGAGCGCUCGAAGCGGCUCCCGCCCCGCGCCUCGUGACUGUUGCCGUCGGCCCGACGGGGCCGCUGGCCGUAGGAGUCAGCGAAGGCCGCCAGCUCGUCCAUGGAAACGGCCGGCACCCCCGUGGCGAAGUUCUUCCGCGACAGCAUCUCGGACUUGGAGCGCGGCUGGCUGCGGGCAGAGAAGGAGGGGGUCAGACGGCCGGUCCCUCCCUGGAGCUCGAGCUCCACUUAGCGCUCAUCUUCUCAGCGCUUUUGCGUUCCAUUGGAGGAGCGUAUUCACACUAAAAAAAGACCACUUUCUAGAUUGAGGACAUGCGUCACUCUAGCAUCUGAGGAUCCCACCUUCACUUUGUGAGAGCACAGCGGUCACUGUACUCACAGGCUUGAGGGCAGCAGCAGGAAUCUGGGCAGCAUGGACAGCGGACAUAGCAGCAGCAGCUGUGAGGGCAGCACUGGCACCAGCAGAUCCCCACCAGGACGAAGAAGAGGAAGACGCCCAGGAGCACCAGGC